rnacentral:lncRNA from 1 species
UGUUCCAACUGUUCUUUCCAUAAUAAAGUUUUAUUAAAAGAUUGUGUACUUGUUUAUCAAGCAGACAGAAUUACCUUAGUGUAAAAUUAAUGUUUUUGUUAAGAUACAUAUUAUUUGAUAAUAGAUUUUUAUUCUGCAGCCUUUCCAAUAAAGCUGUCAUUUUUUUCAAAUUAUAAAAUAAACCCUGCUGUAAAAGAUACAUAAAAAGGAGUCAUUUCAAUCCAAGUCUCUUUAAAAUGUAAUUUCCAGCACUGUCAUUUCCACCACAGAAUGCUUUCAAACACAUUUCAUACCCUGAGAUGGAGUGGAAAUGACAGUUGUUCAUUAUUAAAAGUGCCCAUUGUUGAAGAAAAAUGGAAGAAUCAUGUUGAUGUAUUGUGUCACACCUUGUUAGGACACUAUGUGGAAAUCUGUUCCUGGUGAGAAAGGCAGUGAGGGGCCUCAGGGAAAAGAUGGCCAACCUGGUUUGGAUGGCUUCCCUGGACCACAGGUGCGUUUCAUUUUAAUAAAACUCUUAGGUGGAAAUUUACUAAACAGCCCCUCUGAUGUGCAGUACUUCAGGCUGAGAUCAGUGUUUUGCAUUUUUCUGCAGGGACCGAAGGGCAACAAGGGAGACCGAGGCGACAGGGGUGAACCUGGUCGAGAUGGAGCUGGACUUCAAGGUCCACCCGGCCCCCUGGACCACCUGGACAAAUUAUUUAUGGUUAUUCUGAAAAUAAUGAUGGAGGAGCAGGACCUCGGGGCCCAGUGGGACCAAAGGGUGUCAGAGGAGAACCUGGUUCACCAGGCUACGGCAUUAAGGGUGAGAAAGGAGAACCCGAUUUUCAAGGGUCCCCCUGGUCCCCCAGGGCCUCCUGGUCCCCCUGGACCUGCUCUGCCCUUGGACCGAUUCAGUAGAUAUGAAGAUUAUUCGAGACAGUAUCCAGCUAUAAAAGGAGAUAAAGGAGACCAGGGAGCUCCUGGAGUUCCAGGGUCACCAGGUAAAAUUUACCACUGUUGCUGUUUCUAG